rnacentral:rRNA from 1 species
GAUCAUGGCUCAGGAUGAACGCUAGCUACAGGCUCAACACAUGCAAGUCGAGGGGAAACGAUAUUGGAAGCUUGCUUCCGAUAGGCGUCGACCGGCGCACGGGUGAGUAACGCGUAUCCAGCCUGCCCACCACUUGGGGAUAACCUUGCGAAAGUAAGACUAAUACCCAAUGAUAUCUCUAGAAGACAUCUGAAAGGGAUUAAAGAUUUAUCGGUGAUGGAUGGGGAUGCGU